UACCAGCUCUCCGAGUGGUGUGGAUGUUUAUUUGGCCUAAAGCAUCCGUAGCUGGCUGGGCAAGUCCCCUGUUAAAUCCACCGAUUUAAUCGUUGGAAUGCGGGGGAUACUGUUCGGCUAGGGGACGGGAGAGGCAGACGGUAUUUCCGGGGUAGGGGUGAAAUCCUAUAAUCCCGGGAAGACCACCAGUGGCGAAGGCUGUCUGCUAGAACGCGCCCGACGGUGAGGGAUGAAAGCUGGGGGAGCGAACCGGAUUAGAUACCGGGUAGUCCCAGCUGUAAACGAUGCAGGCUAGGUGUUUGGGCGGCCACGUGCCGCUCUAGUGCCGCAGGGAAGCCGUUAAGCUUGCCGCCUGGGGAGUACGGCCGCAAGGCUGAAACUUAAAGGAAUUAGGCGGGGAGCACCACAAGGGGUGAAGCUUGCGGUUU
rnacentral:rRNA from 1 species